rnacentral:misc_RNA from 1 species
AGUUAUAAUAUAAUUUUGGUUAUAGAAAAGUCUUUGUUUUCCAUUUGGAAGACAACUUUUGUUAUAAAUGAAAACAAGGGAAAACAGCUAAGUUGUUUUUCGAAUCUUAGUUAAAUUUUAGAAAAUUGAAAAACUAGUUUUCCAAAUGGAAAACUGGCACAUAUAAAUAUGAAACUUUGUAUUUUAGUUUUCUUAGAAAACUUAUCAAGAAAACUACCCUAGUUUUCCACCAGUG